ensembl:snRNA U6 U6 spliceosomal RNA
AUGCUCACUUUGGCAACACAUACACUAAAAUUGGAAUGAUACAGAGAAGAUUAGCAUAGUUCUUGUAUAAGACUGACAAAUUUAUGAAGUAUUCCAUAUUUUU